GGAUCGGUUUGGAACACGGGGAUGCUUCGGCUGUCAUCUGCAUACAAUGUCACUGAAGCCUUAAAAGUACCAAAGUUUUGGUGUCUAGUGUCAAAAUUAUGGGGAGUAACAUGACGAAAAGGGCGCAAAAUCGAAAGGACGAAAAUAUGUUUUUUCUUUAUUUUUGUUUCGUUAGUUAAAAUGAAAUUAAAUGUGUAUCAUUAUCCGGGGCAAAUCGAGACACAUGGGGUGAAUUGAUAAGUGAUUUUAGCAAUGUUUUUGAACAAUAUUUGAAUAUUUUUUAAUUUGUUUCAGUAGGAAUAGACGCAAAACAACAACAUUAGUUUCUAAAUUUGAACUUUUAUGUCUAAAAACAGCUGUUCUGGCUUUCUUGUCGAAAAUUUACCAACACAUUGAAACCACGGGGUACCAUAGAAGUUGGUUUGUUUGACUCAAAAACAUGCUUUUUUGUAAAGCCCCACAACGUCCCUAACAAUGGGCUAUGCCAUGUUCGUGGACUCGCUCUUAAGGUUUCCCAACAACAUGGUUGAGCUCAACCGCCUCAAAUUGUAGAUUUAAAUUAACAUUAUGAUGAUCUGUAAGUUCAUUGGCCAAAUAAGAAUUUGCGGAAGACAUUUCAGAGGAUUUGAAAUAGACACCUGCUGGGAAGCUUUUCCUGAGACCUGAUGCUAAACAUAUAUUGUUGUUGGCGGCAUUUAUGGUUUAUUUUAAUGAAAAGAAUCAAUAUGAGCAGCUACAGGAUUAUUUUCCAAAAAAUUAAAUAAGACUUAUUAUAUUUUGAUUUGUGACCCUCUGAAAUGUUAUUCCCGAAACAGCGCCACCAAAUAUUUGGUGGCGGCUUCAGCAAGCUACGUCAGUAUCACGGGCCUGGUUUGGAAAAAGUUGCCAGCCGCGUUCGAUGUAUUUCCUGUAUUUCCAAUGCAUCAAGUGAUUUGUUGACAUUUUUCGGCAGCCUUCUCAAAGGUCUUUUCCGGAAAAAGAUCCGCCAGCAACUGGUACUGGUUUGACUUUUGCGGAGGGUGCCAAAUAUUAAACAUUAUGUUCACUGCUUGCAAAAAAAACAAGACCGUUCGCACGUCCGGGAUUAUUCGUAGAUUCCUGCGUCGUCGUAUCCUUCCCCGAAGCAGCAUCAAUUUUCCAGUUUGAGAAAAAUACAUAAACAAACUUUUAGUGUUUUUUUCUCUCUAACAGGGACUUCUUUCACCGGGUGGAGCUGUUCGGACGGUCCGCUCCUGCUGCGGCAUUCCCGGCACCCAUCAUGGCCACUUUAAGGCUUGCAAAGUGUCGAACGGUUGGACAAACCUUCCGAGAGACAAAUCUGGCUAAGAGAUGUUCAAAAUUUUUAGCAACUUAGGAACCGGCACCGGCUGUGGGAAUUCCAGAUCGCUGUCGGCGUUCCGUUCCUGGUGUUUGUUAGGGAUGUGCAGACGCACUGGACUCAAACUGCCGGCAGUGCAACGAGGGUUAGGCGAUACCAUAGCGCAACGACGUGCAACAAGUGAAAUCUCUCGCUGAAGAAGCACUUCGAACCGGCCGUACUUCUGGAGACAAAUAGCUAUACAAUUGAGGACAUCACCGAAUUGACCCGAUGUUUCCAGACGACAGGAACGACAAACACAAACUGCUGGGCAGUUAGGAAUCUACGGAUGGAGUGCAAUGUCCCGAGGACCCGAGGAGGAACGUGUACCGAUUACAUCGAUCGGUGUAAUCGAUGACGAGAUUGAACCGGAAUUACCAAAGAAAACGACGCGGAAAGAAAGUGCAAAAUUAAGUGAAAUUAAAGAGUAAUUUAAAAAAAACUCACUAAUUACUAUCAAAAGAAGUGUAUUUAGGAUUCCUUUUACUGUGUGUAAAUAGUUUUAGCAGCAUCAUUUAGUGAGGAAUAAAAAAUAAACAGUAUAAAAAUCAAUAAAAACUACUGUAGUUAUUAUUUAUUUCAUUGUACGAAUAUAGUUUAAACAGUACUAUUUAGUAUGGAAAAAACUAUGAAGAACUGUAAAUUGACUGUGCAAUCCAUUGUAAUGCUUGCUGUAUUUAUUAUAAAUGUAUGAUGUUUCAUAUUGUCAGGGCGAGUUUUUGGAUGAAAAAUGCAACAUUAGAUUAACAGUAAAAUGCGUCGUAUUUGGAAAAAAAAUGUAUGGAAAAAUUUCGAAAUUUUUAUGGUACCGGUGCAUAACAACCCCCCUUUUUUAUGGUAAAAUCCCAAAAUACGACGCAAAUUAUCUUAAAAAACGAUGCUGUCUACUGUUAAAACACUGUCAAAAUGACAAUAUAUUUUAUCGUUUUGUAACGUUAAAAUUUACUGUAAGUUCAUCAGAAAUCUUUAUGCGGGUAACCAACCUGUACAUAAUGAUAUUCAAAAGAUCAAUUAAUGAAAACCAUGAUUUUUGAAGCUUCAAGUAGUCUAGAAUCGAGUAAAAAUAUCCAAAUAGGUCAUAUACGCUUUUCAAAAUUUCAUCCUAAGGUGUACAAUGCCGGAGAAUGCUCAUCACCAGCCAGAGCAAUAAUUCAUACAAGUUGAAAAAUCAUAAUUAAAGUAUAUUUUCAAUUUUCUGUCUAUUGCUCAUCACGAGCCAGAGCACUAAUUCAUACAAGUUGAAAAAUCAUGAAUUUCGGUCAUAAUUAAAGUAUAUUUUCAAUUUUCUGUCUAUUGCUCAUCACCAGUCAGAGCACUAAUUCAUACAAGUUGAAAAAUCAUUAAUUUAGGUCAUAAUUAAAGAAUAUUUUCAAUUUUCAUGUCUAUUGCUCAUAACCAGCCAGAGCACUUAUUCAUACAGGUUGAAAAAUCAUUAAUACUGGUUAUUAUCAAAGUAUAUUUUCAAAUUCAUGUCUAUUGCUCAUCACCAGCCAGAGC